rnacentral:rRNA from 1 species
GACGAACGCUGGCGGCGUGCUUAACACAUGCAAGUCGAACGGAAAGGCCCUGCUUGCAGGGUACUCGAGUGGCGAACGGGUGAGUAACACGUGGGUGAUCUGCCCUGCACUUCGGGAUAAGCUUGGGAAACUUGGUCUAAUACCGGAUAGGAGCCAUCUUUAGUGUGGUGUUUGGAAAGUUUUUUCGGUGUAGGAUGAGCUCGCGGCCUAUCAGCUUGUUGGUGGGGUAAUGGCCUACCAAGGCGGCGACGGGUAGCCGGCCUGAGAGGGUGUACGGCCACAUUGGGACUGAGAUACGGCCCAGACUCCUACGGGAGGCAGCAGUGGGGAAUAUUGCACAAUGGGCGCAAGCCUGAUGCAGCGACGCCGCGUGGGGGAUGAAGGCCUUCGGGUUGUAAACUCCUUUCGCUAGGGACGAAGCUUUUUGUGACGGUACCUAGAGAAGAAGCACCGGCUAACUACGUG